CAUUAAGCUUCUCAAAGUGAGUAUUGGUCUCUUAAACCAAAUUUAAUAAAUUAACAAUUAUUCUUAAUGA
rnacentral:tRNA from 1 species